AUUGUUUGAAUUUUUCAUAUCAUUCUCGUAAACAAAAAUCAAACUUUUAAGAUAUUUGUUAUGGCAGCUAUGAUUUUGAUAUUUAGCGGCAAAAACAAAUACGCACCACAAAAAAGAGGUAGUCUAGAAUAAAAGCAGUCCUAGGAUGCAGGCGUUCAAGUUCUAACCUAAAAGCGUAAAGGAAAAACUUAAAAAAGAAUGGUAGAAAUAAGUUAAAUGGAUUGAAAAAUAAACAGAUAUGACGGAUUGUGAGACAUAAUUAAACAAAAUUCUAAAAGGAAAAGUUGCAAAACAAGAGUUGAUUGGAAAAUCACAGAAAUUAUUUUCUUUCAUUCUUUGGAAUGUUAGAUUCCGGUGACUUCGCAGAGACUGCAGGCUUGGAAGUAGCUUUGUUUUCUUCCGUUUGUUUCUUAGCCAAAUCUGGAUGUUCCGCGACGUGUUCAGCUUCUUCCUCAAUAAGCUCCUCUUGCUCGCGUAAAAUUUCGAGCCUUUCCUUGUUUGAUACUUGUUUUGUUGGCAUAUCAACAACAGUCUCAUGAUAAAGCUCGUCAGGGAUAGAAGCAAGAGUAUCUUGCAGUGCAUCCCAGCGUGAAUCAUAAGUACCCUCGUUAUAUCCAUAAGAGAAUGCGUUUGAAAGCAUCAAAAUAACAGAAGGAAUUCCAUGUUUGAUACGCAUAUCAAGCCAGACACUUAAUUCUUCUUUCAACUUAGCAGGAGAGAGGCCCUGAGUCCGAAUACCACGAGAAUUACAGGCAUUGAAAAGCUCGGGAAUUGAAAGUGAGUUGAUUCCUUCAAUGUAAAUAGCACGAUCGUCACGACGAAUUUGACGCAUUCGAUGACGGAUAUUAUAACGCAAUAGAGGAUCAGUUCCGAAUGCAUUUAGAUUCAUGUAGCGACACAUAGCUACUAAUUGUGCACGCGACAAGUUAUCAAGAGUUAUGUCAUCCUUAAAGUAUUUGCAAACCUCAAUUAAUUCUUCUCUAGAUGGGGAUUGACCACUAGUACGCACCUUUUGAAAAAAAUCUCUGAACUCUUUAGAUUCACGAGUCUCGUUGGAGAAAGUAAAUUUUCCCGAUUUUAAGGUGCUUCGUAGCAUGUUGGAUACUUCAUUUCUAGUCUUUCGAAGUUGUGCUUUCUUAGCCUCCUUAUCCUUUGCAUCUUCAAAUGUACUAGGAAGCAAAUUGGGAAACAGCUUGACUGCAAUGGGCAACAAUAAUUCGGCAAACGGCACAACAACAAACACUGAGAAUGGAACAAGUCUUCCAAUAUCCUUUAAAGUUCUGGUAAGUUGACGACUUUCACGACGAGUAAGUUCGUAACCGACAGCCAUCUUAUAAACCAGUUUUGAAGAAAUCUUAAUCUCGACACCAAGAAGUUUAGUACCAUCCCAGAAAUGUAAUACACCGCCUUUAACCCUUUGCCAUAUUGACGGUUUUUUAACCACAGUAGUUGGCUUAGUCUCUUCCGCAGCAACCUGUUUCGGGGCUUCCUUAACUUUAGAAGGAGUAGGAGUUUCUGUAGAGUAAAGUCUUGAAGAGCCGAUAUUAUAGAAUACUAUAUCUGAUGGACUAUAUUUAUUAAAUUUGACAGGAGAGAGUCUUUUAUCAAUCAAAAAAUUUCCUCGCAGACCUGAAUAGCUUCUAAUAGGUUGGUUCCUGAUUGUAAUUCCCGUCGCCGGAGCGCCUAACCUCCAUUGAAAGCCUACAAAACGUUAGUACAAAUUGAAGAGCAAUUUGAAAAAGCAUUAAUAUCCUUACCAGUCUGAUGUGGGGUUUUAAACAAACGAUUCCGAAGCAUACUGGGGAAUUGGAUAUGCGUUCUUGGAUACUUCAUCAAUUUGACUCGGCUUGUUUAUGAAAUAGUAAAGAGAUUUAACGC
rnacentral:lncRNA from 1 species